rnacentral:rRNA from 1 species
UACAGAGGGGGCAAGCGUUAUUCGGAAUUAUUGGGCGUAAAGGGCGCGUAGGCGGCCCUGUAAGUCUUGGGUGAAAUCCCUCAGCUCAACUGAGGAACUGCCUCGGAUACUGCAGGGCUUGAGGCCGGGAGAGGGUAGUGGAAUUCCCAGUGUAGCGGUGAAAUGCGUAGAUAUUGGGAGGAACACCGGUGGCGAAGGCGGCUACCUGGACCGGUUCUGACGCUGAUGCGCGAAAGCGUGGGUAGCAAACAGG